UGGGCUGUCUGCAGAGCCCAUAUAUGCUACUACGAAGUUUCAGCAUGCAACAGUCCUAAAAACAUAAUGUCCACAGGGAGUGAACACUGCAUUUCGACUGUAUACAGCCUGACUAGGACCACAGACUAUUCAUGUGUUUCCCAAGCAACUACCUACUGACAAGCAAUUACAUCCAAUUUCUUAAUAGCAGAAAGCGGGAGGACUAUUCCUGCAUGAAAAAGCCCAGGAUCAUCUGGAGGCUUCGUAAGACCCUUGAAGUCACUUGACCUCCUACUUUGCUGUGGCUCACCUUCCACAACUCACAGAAAUGAAUGUACUUCAGCAAAGAUUAUUAUUCAUUCCUUCAAACCCACCUCCACUUCUAUUUUGCUUGCUGUGCUGACAACAUACAGAUCUCUACAAAGCUACUAUUCUGGCCAUUGAGCAUGAAGUUGCUGCACUUAUGAACUCAAAAACCAUCAAUCAGUUUGAGAACCUAGACGUUCAAAGCAUAAAUGGGAUUCUGGAUAUGCAAAUGAAGAACAAUAACAAGUUGAUUAGUUAAUUAAUAUUUCUUCACAGGAUAAGUUGAGUACAGAAUGUGUUAGACAAAAAUCAUUUUGGAGAAAGGCAGGGUAUAGAUAAAGAUUUCUUCAUACUGAGCAGGAAAAGAAAACAUUUUCAACAGUAUAAAGUCAACAUUAAAACAAUAUUUUAAUAAAAUCAUAGAAUGGUUUGAAUUGGAAUGAAACCAAGAUUAUCUAAUUCCAACUCCCCUGCCACGGACAGGGACACCUUUCUGCAGAAUUUACUUCCAAAAACAGGUUUUCACAGUUGCCAAAAAUAAAAAGUACACUCUAUGGCUAUAGAAGAAACACUGUGUGUUCAGCCUGCUCUGCCAACUAAGCUGAUACUCCAAACCUUCAAGGGCCUCAGAAAAUUAACAUAGCAAAUACAACUACUUACGUUUGUCACAGGCAAAAAAGUGGCAUGAUGACCAACAGUUGGUGUGAACGGUCAAUAGCUGGAAGUCACUUUAACUCGCUUUGCUACAGGUAUCAGAUAUAAUAAAGAUCUCGGUUCUAUAAACACAUAGAAGGGCCCUGGAAUUUCCAUAUCAGUCAUAAAUGAUGCCCGAUGAGAAUUAUCACAAAAAUAGAGAAAAUAGCCUUUUUUUUCUUCUUCCAUGUUUUGUGUUUUGUUUAAUUACAACCUUCUCUUCUGAAAUAGAAGAUAUUUCAGAUAUUUAAGACACUUAACAUAUCACACAGUGACACAAGAUUCAAUAACAUUUUUCAGAGAAGAUAGCAAGCAUCUAUGUGGUAGAUGCAUGCUGCAUACAGAGCAGGAAAAUCUGCAAUUUCAAACAAAUGUGAAAAUUAGAGCUUCUCAAGCGAAGCUGAGACCUAGAACACAGAUGCUUAGCAUACACAUCAGCAUGACUGCACAGCACAGACCUCAAUGCAUGCAUCCUAUACUGUCUGUUGGAUUCAUCAGAAAAAAUGUGUUAUCUACACUUUAAUAACUCACAUUAAAAACAAAGGAAAGAAAGGAAACAUGACAAGUAUCAUGAGCAGCUCCAACAGGCUGUGAGAGCUCCUCAAAUGGAAAGGUCAUGUAGGAAAGAACAGCUGUUUCAAAAAGAAUAUAGAAACUGAGUUUAUCAAAAGUUUACAUGUCUAGAGAUAGUCAAGAAGUCUAUGAAAAGCAAAACUGCUUUUUCUGGACACAUCUCAUAAUGUUGUUUGGUCAGUGAUGACAAAAAUAAUUCUGAGGGUUCUAACGAAACUAAACAGAAAGAACAGUAGUUCAUCAAUAUAUAAACCAUCAAUUAGAGUUCCAUAUUAGCACUGUUGUGCUAAUAAGGUAUCUAAGAGGUAUCUAAAAAUCAGUUUCAGGAGUAGAAAGGGCUCACUGCUUAGGGCUUUUGUUGAGAGCAAGCCCAUGUAGUGCAGUUUGCACAAGAAGUCUAAAUGCUUGCAGAAUAUUAACAGUGAAUACAGCAUUUAAAACCAAACAUUUGUUCCAUGCAAACAGAAGAUAGACGUCCAAUGCUUACUUCCCUUUGGAAGCCCAGCAAGCCCACAGCCACAUGUCACCUGGUUUCUGGAAGGCGUUUUAAGAAUAAUUGCUACUUUGGCUUUGUUUAUUUAAAAGAGAGUAGUUUAGAGUUUUCAUUUGAAUAUAAACUUCAAAAUGAAAAUUAAUCACAGGGUUCAUAAGACUAUGAAGACUAUUUUUCCUGAAAAUUAUUGUGUAUUCAUGGUUUCCCUCACACCCUGUUAACUUAAGUUGCUUAUUCAAGAUGGAGGUUAACAAAUAAUCUCCAGGGACACCCCAGUAUUUAAAGGUCAUUUGAGAAUAUCUGAUUGGAAUGACUAUAACUGAGAUUAGUUCUCUACUGCAAGAAAUAAAAUGAAAAGGGCAAGUUGUUCAGGAAUAUAAAGGAGAAAAGCCAGACAGUAUUUGCCUUAUUUCUACACAAAGCAGUGCAGACUCUCUUAAGUACUGAUGUAGAGAAUCUGUGAGAAUUAUUAGAGUAAACGAUAGCUUUUAGAUCAAUUUUGCUCUCAUUCACAACCUAUAUUUAAGGUUUGUUCCACUGCUUUUAGAAGUGUUUUUUGUUUUGUGUUGUUGGGUGUUUUUUUGUUUGUUUGUUUUUUGAAAUAUUAGAAGAGGCUGCACUUACAAACCUCUUAUAAAGAAAGAUUUUUAUGAGUAAUUCCAGUCACCAUGAGGAAAUGAGAAUGUGCAUAAUGUAAUAUAUGGCUACGCUUAUAUACUAUAAAGCCUGAACAAAUAAGCUGUUAAUUUUGUUAAUUUUUCUCUUGCAUCCAUUUUUUUUGUGGGAAGGCAAAUGUUCUGUCAGCUAUUAUCUUGAGAAAAAUUGUAAUUGAUAGGUUCAUUUUCAUUUAUGCCUAAGGAAUUUUCACAUUAUUGUAAGCUGGAAAAUAUUAGAUAAUUAACACUGGUGAUAAAACUGCAUUCACACUGAU
rnacentral:lncRNA from 1 species